rnacentral:rRNA from 1 species
UCAGUCUGGCGCGGUGGAUUCGCAGGCAGAGUUCGGUACCCAUUUAGGGGCCGAUCGGCCGCGAUCGCCGGCGCAUCAGACGCACUUGUCUCUCGUCCGAAGGACGCCGCAGCCGGUCGGGCAGAGCAAACGCGACGGCCUGAAGGUCGGGAGCCGGCAGGUGGCCGGUGGUCAGUCUAGGCUGAUCGCCGGUUGUUAGCCUUCCCGUCAGUGGCCCGUCGCCCGACCGAGGUAUCACGAGGCCCCUCAUGGGGCUCCACCGUCUCCUCCUUUGAUAAAUCGGGACAAAAGGUCCCAAGGCAAACCCGCCCUCCCGUUGCACUCCUCCGGAAUGGACGGGCGAACGGGAAAACCCCUUGGCGACCGCGGGCCCCUCCGAAGUCGGCGGCUGGCGGCCAAUAAGUCGGUCACCCACCCGACCCGUCUUGAAACACGGACCAAGGAAUCUAACAUGUGCGCGAAUCAAUGGGUCUUGAACAGGGCCAGGGGCGCAAUGAAAGCAAAGGUCCACCCACGUCCACUCAAUUGGGAUCCCCUCUUUUUGGGGGGGCCCCCAACAACCCUUCCUAUCCGGUUCCCCGGUUGGGCGAAAUUUAAACUUACCCUUUGGGACCCAAAAAAUGGGGAAUUAUGCCCGGACAGGACAAGGCCAAAGGAAACUUUGGGGAAGGUCCCCACCGGUUUUAACUUGCAAAUCAAUCGUCAAAUCCGGGUUUAGGGGCAAAACUU